CAGGAAAUAAAUUAAAAAAAAAAAAGCCGCGACGCCUGGAGCGUGACGGCGGACGCCAAUGCAAUGCCGCCAUCUUCUAUCGUGUCGUGCGUGCCUGUGUGAACUUGAAAAUAAAUCCGCUAGCUGAAGCUAGCUGACCGGAUCGGAAAAAUGGUUCAGGGUUCUUUUUGUUGCCCCAUGCCCCAUCAUCUGCCGCCAUCCUGGACAAGUCGGCGAUCAACAACAGGACAGGACCCGGCCUGCGAGCAAUGGCCAGUGAAGUCUAUCCCAGUGCCACGUCAUCAAGUCAUCACGCAUUCGUCGUCGGACUCGUCGGGUGCAAAUGACGCGGCGGAUCUUUCUCAAGCUUAGAAAGAUGGUUGUGGCCCAGCGCCCCGCUACUUCGUGCCAGGCCAUUCUCCAACUGCAGAUCCAUGUGUCAACGCGACAGUGCACUCACCUUGUUUGGCCCGAUGGAAUUUGGUAUGUCACCUGAGGCGAGGAGUAGGUGCGUGUGCGAACGGCCUUAGUGACGCAUCUUCAGCGCGACGGGUGUAUUCUCAAAUAUGAGAAGGAGCUCGGGUCCUGCGGGCUCUUAACCGUCGUAGUAUUCACACAGUGUUUUAAAAUAGUGUUUGUGUGUAUUAUGAUAACAUAUGUUCAAUUCAAAUGUCUAACACUACAUAAGUAUACAUAUCAUUUUUCAUUAGUAUGGUGCUGUUUUUGCGGUCUGAAGAAAAAACUUCAAAUAAAAUAAUUAUGUUGUCUGUA
rnacentral:lncRNA from 1 species